CCUAGCCUGUCUCUAGCCCCUCGCAGCCGGUGUAACGACCCGUCUCACCACCACCCUCCGCCGUCCGCCGAUGACCAAAAAUCACUGCCGGUGGUGGCAAGUCUCCGAUGGCCUUUAAAAUUACACCACUACACCUCCCCGACCUCCUCUUCCCAUUUUUAUGACUUGCAUCCCUCAAAUGUCAACCAAUCCCCUCGAAUAUUUGUUCGAAGUGGCAGCUGCUCCGCCGUCCACGGCGGUACCGGUGCAAAACGCCUCCAAAUUUACAUCAUAGAGGCUUCUCCACCCCUCCCUUUCUAGAUUUGGGUUUAGAUUCCUUCGAAUCCCCGUCGGACUCCUCGAAUCUUGGAUAGGAACCUUGGCCUGAAGCCAUAACCCAUCAAAUGGCCUCAAACUCACACCAAACGGCCCCCUCACCUACCUCACCUCGAAUCCAUGUUCAAAUGCCCUGGUAAAUGCUCAAAAUCCCUAAACCUAGGAUUUUGGAGUCUGCAUGAAAGCCUCCUUUGAAGAUGAAGCCCAGGCCGGUUAAGCUAAGUCCUCACCUUAGUUAAUCUCAUUACUUAAGCCUUUAAUUUAAACGUGUUUGUUAGUUCUGUGUUCGUUUUAAUUAGGGUCAUUCAUAAUUCUGCCUAAUAUGUAGAAGUUAGUUUGGGUAUAAAAAUGCAUAUGAUUAGCAAUUUUGGGAAUUGGUUUAGUUUUUAUUGUUCGAGUGAUGCCUUGGCUUGUUUUCUUUCCUUUGAUUUGCAUUUAUAGUUUUCUGGGUUUGACUGACUUCCUUUAUUUAAAGCUUGAUUAAAUGCUCUUCAUGAUUAAAUUAACUAAAGAGAUCUGAGGUUUUAGUUGUUUCUAAUUCUGACUUAGUUUGGUUUAAUCGGAUUCUGUCCUGGUAUUAUUUUAUUGCUGAUUAUUGAUAUUUUUGCGUGUGGUGAUUCUUCUUAUGUUUAUUUUUGCCUGUAUUUCUCUUUUUUUACUGAUUAAUUCAGUAAAAUUUGAUUUUUUCUGAUUAUCCUUUAAUGUGCUUCCGUUUGGUUCAUACUUUUGUGUAUUUGAUUUGGAUUCAUGAUUGUGAGUAAUUAACCAUGGUCAUCUGACCAAGCUUAAGGGGCUGGGGUCAACUAGUAUAGGUUUGGUGAUUUCAGACUAGUUCAAGGGUAAUAUAGGUAUUUUAAGUUAGGGAAUCUUGCAUAUAUCUGAUUUGAAAACCCCUAGAACAUUCUAGACGGGGUUCCAAUCAGAAUUUUAGGACUUUAGUGUUGAAACUUGAGAAACAAGUCACAACCUUAGGGACAAUCUAGCUAAAGGUUGGAAAUAAAAAGGGGACUAAAAGGCAAAACAAAGUCUGCAGGUGUAGCCCUAGUUAUUGGCCUAUAAAAAUACCAUUUUCUUGCCUUAGAAGGCAGACUUUGAAGGUUAAAAAUUUUUUCUGAAACUUUUAGACAGCUUACAAAAUACUGUUCUACCAAGAUUUCUAUUUUGAAUUUUGGAGCUCCUCAUCUUUGAAAGAUAAUUAGUCGUGUAUGGUUGGUUGAAAUGACUCGAACUUGAUUCCUGUAGAAAAUCUGAGUAGAUUUUAUGGUCAACUACUAUUUCAUUGGUUAUCUCUGUGUGGAUCUCCUGGAUCUUAAUGGCUAAAAUUGUUGUUGUUGGCUUCUGCUGUUGGGUUUCUUUUAAGCUCAUAAGUUCUUUAUUUAUCUGCUGUAUUAGGUAUUUCCUUUGGCUCAUAACUGAGGAUCAGCUGCUGAAUAUGUAAUAGAUUUGAAGUAAUUUGAAGGAUGCAUUCGAGCCCGACCUCCCUGUUAUUUUACUGUCCUUAUGUGCUUUAUGCUUAGCUAUAGAUUCAUAGGAUUGUUGGACUACUGGUUUUCUUUUCAUGAUCAUAUGAUAUUCGGUAGUAUUAGAUCCAAUUUUGUUAA